GAUGAACGCUGGCGGCGUGCCUAAUACAUGCAAGUCGAACGCACAGCGAAAGGUGCUUGCACCUUUCAAGUGAGUGGCGAACGGGUGAGUAACACGUGGACAACCUGCCUCAAGGCUGGGGAUAACAUUUGGAAACAGAUGCUAAUACCGAAUAAAACUUAGUGUCGCAUGAUACAAAGUUAAAAGGCGCUUCGGCGUCACCUAGAGAUGGAACCGCGGUGCAUUAGUUAGUUGGUGGGGUAAAGGCCUACCAAGACGAUGAUGCAUAGCCGGUUUGAGAGACUGAUCGGCCACAUUGGGACUGAGACACGGCCCAAACUCCUACGGGAGGCUGCAGUAGGGAAUCUUCCACAAUGGGCGAAAGCCUGAUGGAGCAACGCCGCGUGUGUGAUGAAGGCUUUCGGGUCGUAAAGCACUGUUGUAUGGGAAGAACAGCUAGAAUAGGAAAUGAUUUUAGUUUGACGGUACCAUACCAGAAAGGGACGGCUAAAUACGUGCCAGCCGCCGCCGUAA
rnacentral:rRNA from 1 species